CCUACGGGAGGCAGCAGUGGGGAAUAUUGCACAACGGGGGGAACCCUGAUGCAGCAACGCCGCGUGGGUGAAGAAGUACUCCGGUAUGUAAAGCCCUGUCAGCAGGGAAGAAAAUGACGGUACCUGACCAAGAAGCCCCUGCUAACUACGUGCCAGCAGCCGCGGUAAUACGUAGGGGUCAAGCGUUACCCGGAUUUACUGGGUGUAAAGGGGGCGUAGACGGCAAGGCAAGUCUGGAGUGAAAGCCCGUGGCCCAACCACGGGACUGCUUGGGAAACUGUGUUGCUUGAGUGCAGGAGGGGUAAGCGGAAUUCCGAGUGUAGCGGUGAAAUGCGUAGAUAUUAGGAGGAACACCGGUGGCGAAGGCGGCUUACUGGACUGUAACUGACGUUGAGGCUCGAAGGCGUGGGGAGCAAACAGGAUUAGAUACCCUUGUAGUC
rnacentral:rRNA from 1 species